rnacentral:rRNA from 1 species
AGUGAACGCUGGCGGUAGGCCUAACACAUGCAAGUCGAACGGCAGCACAGAGGAGCUUGCUCCUUGGGUGGCGAGUGGCGGACGGGUGAGGAAUACAUCGGAAUCUACUCUGUCGUGAGGGAUAACGUAGGGAAACUUACGCUAAUACCGCAUACGACCUACGGGUGAAAGCAGGGGAUCUUCGGACCUUGCGCGAUUGAAUGAGCCGAUGUCGGAUAGCUAGUUGGCGGGGUAAAGGCCCACCAAGGCGAGGAUCCGUAGCUGGUCUGAGAGGAUGAUAAGCGACACGGGAACGGGGACACGGUCCAGACUCCUCCGGGAAGCAGCAGUGGGGAAUAUUGGACAAUGGGCGCAAGCCUGAUUCAGCCAUACCGCGUGGGUGAAGAAGGCCUUCGGGUUGUAAAGCCCUUUUGUUGGGAAAGAAAUCCAUCUGGUUAAUACCCGGGUGGGAUGACGGUACCCAAAGAAUAAGCACCGGCUAACUUCGUGCCAGCCGCCGCCGUAA